AAAACUUUCACUUUUGGCUUAAUCCCAUCCAAUACAAAAAUAAUUGAUGAGCAACAGGGAAGCUAUAAGAUUUUUAGUGUUUGAAUGAAGCUUUGACAUUAGUUGAAUCUGUAGAUUUUACACAUGAGAAGACAAAAGUUUAGAGAGGUUAAGUGCCUGGCAUAAAAUCACAUAGGUAGCCUGUGGAUUUUUAUGCUCAGCUAUUUUGAUUCAACAGUUAGUGUUAUUUCUGACCAAAACAAUGUUAUGUUUGUAUCUCUAUCAGGAUUAGAAGGAAAUAUUAGAGAUAGUCAGAAUUUAGAAAAUCAUAUUUUACAAACUUAAGAAAACAUAUAUAAAUAGAAAGAUUGCUUGUCUGCAAAUAAGAUAAAAGCAAGUAUGUUUUACCACCAGGUUGUCAUAGAAGGCUAAAAAUAUUUUAUAAAAUGGAGGAUGUGGUUGAGUGUUACCAGAUUGGAAAAAGAAGAAAAAUAACAUGUUUUGGAAAGUCAAUUGAAAACAAUUUUGAAGAUCUAUUACAUAAUUGAUUCCAUAAAACCUGGGUGCCAUCCUAUGUAGACAAGGUUUGACAUAAUUUUCCAGACUGGGAUUGUGUCUUUAAAGCACUUAAGCUGAACUAGACAAUUUCAUACACUUAUGUUGUUGAUAAAAUGAAAUUCCCAUUUGCUUCUCAUUACCUCUGACAUGAGCAUAUGCAGUUACAGGAUGUCUAUUGUAAUUAUGAUUAGAGCUUAAAAAACAAACAAGAAAAAUUACCAUACUAGCUAGAAAAUGCUGGGAAACCACAUGCCACAAACUUUGAGAUGUUUAUGAUUAAAAAAAAAAAUCACAUUGUAAGCUCCAUGCAAAAACCUGUGUUUGAAACAAAAGUCUAAAAUGUAAGAUCUAGACCCCUCUUGAGAAGUCCACUUAAGCAGGUCAUAAAGUGGUUUUAGAACAUACAUGUAUUUCAAUAUGAUAUUUAAGAAUCUCAUCAGAGCUCAAAGGCUACUCAAAAUGGUGAAGCCAGGAGAAAUUUGCCCCAAGCUUAGUGUUCACUUGAGUAGCUACACAAGAAUGAAUUGGAGCACAGCUGUAUGUCAUUUUGAAUUAGGACAACUGAGAAAGGCAAAUGACUAUCAUUGUUUCACUAUUAUAAUUGGUAGAUGCUAUUGACACAAUGAUAGAGGCAUGAGGCUGAGAAAUUCUAGGCAGAAAAGGGUAGAUCCCCAGCGAAACUCCACCCCCAAACCUAAAAGCCUGAAACCGUGGCCCAAAGUGAGAACUUCUAUUCCGGUUUUCCUGCUUGAAUGUUGCCUUUUUCUAAACACCUAUGCCCACUCCACCCCAUCCUGCGCCUAUAAAGACCCCAGACUCAGCCAUCAGAGAGAAGAAGCAGCUGGACAACAGGUCGACUACAGCUGGACGAUGGAGAGAAGCAGGUUGACUUCAGAGGGACAGUUUAACGGCAUAACUUCGGAGAAGAAUCCAGCCAGAAACAGCCGAACUUCAGGGAGAUCGGGAGCCAUGAGUGAGGAUACAAAGGGCUGUCACAUCUGGAUGCAGUGAUUCACACCUGUAAUC
rnacentral:lncRNA from 1 species